CGAGACAGACAGCGAUGGAGGGGGAACCAGAGGGGCAUGGGAGAGUUGGCUGCUCCAGGCAGGGCCUACUCCGAGGGCUCAUCCAACAGAAGCUCUGCUAAAAAUGGCUGCUUUGCUUCCACUGCCCCUUCCCCCUCCCCCAGAGCUCGGCUCCCUUCCCUCCGUGUCCCCGGGCGGCUGCGAGCCCGGGGCCGCCACUCACCAGGCAGAAGAGGAAGUCAGAACGUUUUCUCGUCUUCUGGAGCUCCACCGGGGGGGUAAAGCCACGGUGGAAGGGGAGAACAGAAAGAGGGAGGUGAUGCCAAGCAAGAGAAGUAGGAAAACAUAAAUAAUCCAGCGGGGGCAAUCAAUCCAGAACCCCCCCUUCUCUUCCUCCUGUUCCUUUAGUCAUCAGAUGAGAAAGGGGCAAAUUGUGGAAUGACUGGGAAGGAUUGGCCGUGGGAGAGAGAAAAAUCCAGGCUCGUCUCUUCGGAGUCCGAGGGCAACAGGGUGUGGGGGGGUCAGAUUCUUCUCCCCUGCUCCAAAAAUAUUCCAAAUAAAUUAAAAUUUAAAAGCAUAAAAACAAACUUCAGGGGCCAGAAGUAAGGCCAGUCUGAAGAAUUCGUAAAGGCAGAGAGAGAAAAAUUUCCUGGGGUGUACCCCAAAAAAACAUCUGCGGGGGCACGGGAGGGGGAAGGUAUUCCUUGAGAGAGGAAGGCCGCAAAAGUCUCCUCAGCAGCACAGCGGGGGAUUAAAUUCCCGUGUGGAAAACACCCCCCCUCCCCAAAACGAAAUAGUCUUCGCAGCGAGGGCGAAACCAAAAUACUCUCCGUCGGGUAAAAAAAAAAAAAAA